rnacentral:rRNA from 1 species
UACGAACUGUGCAAACGUUAUUCGGAAUCACUGGGCUUAAAGGGUGCGUAGGCGGGUUCAAAGGUCUGAUGUGAAAGCCCACGGCUCAACCGUGGAAUUGCGUUGGAAACCAUGAGCCUUGAGGAGAUCAGAGGAGAGCGGAACUGAUGGUGGAGCGGUGAAAUGCGUUGAUAUCAUCAGGAACACCGGUGGCGAAAGCGGCUCUCUGGGAUCUUUCUGACGCUGAGGCACGAAAGCUAGGGGAGCGAACGGG